GUGUCAGCCGCCGCGGUAAUACAGGGGGUGCAAACGUUGCUCGGAAUUAUUGGGCGUAAAGCGCGCGUAGGCGGCCACUUAAGUCGGAUGUGAAAGCCCCUGGCUCAACUGGGGAAGUGCACCCGAAACUGAGCGGCUUGAAUACAAAAGAGGGUCGCGGAAUUCCCGGUGUAGAGGUGAAAUUCGUAGAUAUCGGGAGGAACACCGGUGGCGAAGGCGGCGACCUGGGUUGAUAUUGACGCUGAGGCGCGAAAGCGUGGGGAGCAAACAGGAUUAGAUACCCCAGUAGUCC
rnacentral:rRNA from 1 species